CGUGAACAGCAAUGGAGUGUCUUGUCGCUAGGUGGCGGUGGUCGGGCGUUGUUCUGUUUUGUACCACGGCUGGAAGUCAGAGUCUGAGGCCAGUGAGGAGGGAGCACAGCAGGAACAUGCUCCUCCUUCACCCAGGCAUGAGAGUGGUACAGAAGGUGACACGCCACCUCGGAGAGAACAGGAGGAUACCUGCAAAAGAUACCCGUGCAGCAGCCCCCCCCGACGAAAACAUCCCCCCACAAUACCCGAGGUGGAGCUGAUGAGGGUCUUCCUACAGGAAAUGCAGGACUCCCGGAGGGGAGAAAAUGCGCACACACAGUUUAUGACCAAGCAGUGAACACCCUGAUAGAAGGACAAACAAAUAUUGUAAAUGUUCUAAAUAACAUAUUUCAGGUCCUCCGGGAGGUGGCAAGCAGACCAUAUCCAGAAAUGGGAAGACCACAAGAGCCUGGAUCAUCAGCUCCUGGACUAUCAUCUCCUGUGCCUCCUCCAUUUCCAUCAACCCCCAAUCACUCAAAGUACUCCUCCUUCCUCUCUUUCCCAAACAUCUCCAAUGAGGACACGUCUGAGGAGGCAUUUGACCACUCCAGAGCUUCACUGUCGUGGGAAGGAGGAAGAAGUAAUUAUGUUUUUAUAUUAUUGUUUUAAUUUAAAGUUAAUGUGUAAAGGAUUAUUAUGUGAUUAUGUUGUUUUCUUACACUUGUGGAACACACUCUGUAUUUAAUAGGCUUCUAUGGGACCGGGUCCAUGGAGGCAGAUUGUUUGCAAAGUGUUUUACAAGUGUGUUGAGACAACAUCAUCACAUGCUGUCCUUGUUGAUUAGAUUGAUUUGUUUUUGUGAUGUGAUGUCCAAACGUGUUCUCCUAAUACUAACCAACGACCAUUACAAUUAUACAUGAUGGCAUAUCACUGUGUUGAUGCAAACAACAUAUCUUAAACAAGAUUAUAUGCUAACAUAUACCAAUCCUUAUGGCUUAUUGAUAUAUCUAAAUGUGCUUGUUAAAUAAAGCAAAUAUUGUAUUUUUGAAAAAAGCCUGUAUGCCAUUUUUCUUUUGAUGUGUUGACAACAUUAAAUACCUAAAAUAAAGUGUAUUUUUGGAAAGCUA